rfam:Emiliania huxleyi CCMP1516 EMIHTscaffold_1665_Cont10446, whole genome shotgun sequence.
GCAAUCGUGCCCGAGUGGUCAAGGGGGUGGACUUGAAAUCCACUGGGCUCCGCCCGCGCGAGUUCGAACCUCGUCGAUUGCG